GACGAACGCUGGCGGCAGGCUUAACACAUGCAAGUCGAGCGCCCUGCUUGCAGGGAGCGGCAGACGGGUGAGUAACGCGUGGGAACGUGCCCUUCGGUACGGAAUAGCCCCGGGAAACUGGGUGUAAUACCGUAUACGACCUCCGGGUGAAAGAUUUAUCGCCGAAGGAUCGGCCCGCGUUGGAUUAGCUUGAUGGUGGGGUAACGGCCUACCAUGGCGACGAUCCAUAGCUGUUCUGAGAGGAAGAUCAGCCACACUGGGACUGAGACACGGCCCAGACUCCUACGGGAGGCAGCAGUGGGGAAUAUUGGACAAUGGGCGAAAGCCUGAUCCAGCCAUGCCGCGUGGAUGAAGAAGGCCCUAGGGUUGUAAAGUCCUUUCGGCGGUGAAGAUAAUGACGGUAACCACAAAGAAGCCCCGGCUAAUUUCGUG
rnacentral:rRNA from 1 species